CUGAGAAACUUCAAAGAAACAACCAACCAUAUAUGCACCUGCCUACCAGGAGAAGGUUAGCUCCUUAUUUCCUUAACUGUGGAAUUUCUCCACUGAAGUCCUCCUGCCUGUUUUAUGGGGUGAGCAGGAAGCAUUUGUUCUGGGCCUGCAGCAGGUUUCCUGUCUAUAAAACAUUGAUUUUUUUUUUCACCUUGCCAAUAUCUCCUUAACCGAUGAUAAACUACACUCUCAUCAGAAAUAAUCAACACUUUUUCAGUUAUGCUUGGGUCUUAAUGAAGAGGAGUUGGCUGGAAUACCUUGUUUGCAAUCAGUAAAUUGUGGUAGUUCAAUAGUACAUCUUUGUCAGAUACCAUCUUGCCUUCAGUAAACAGGUAAGUUCAUUAACUUUACAAUGUGGCAGUAACAGAAAGAUUCCCUUUGGACAAUUAAGGAGGAGUUUUGAAGAAAAUUGCUCCCUCCUGGGAAGAGAUGAAAGACUGACCCUAAGGAGAAGAGAUUUUUUUUCCUUAAGUCCAAGGGAUUGUUUUUGCUGGAAGGCUGUCCUGGCUCUUGUAUCAGUAAGUGAAUUUCAAAUGCCUGCUUUAUAAUCAUGUUCUUAAGUAAUGGUUUUCUAGUUUAGCUCUUUCUGAUUUCUUGGAGGUGGAUUAAUACCUAAUUAAAUAUGUGGAACAGCUGUAAAGAGAAACAUGAUUCUGUCAAAGCAAAAUAAUUGCUAUGCCUGGUUUUCAAGUUGGCAGAGUCACUGCAAACAAUGAGUUUGCUUCAUAUUCAAUAAAUACAUUCCUUGCUGCCAUAUCCAUUUGAAAUCUAAUCCUGGGCAUUUACUGAAAACAAAAACAGCAAUAUUGGUUUUAUAGCUAGGAGUCAAAGAUGAUGGGGCUGAUUCUUCUUUACACAAAAGUCCUUUGCUCUGUCCUGAAAUAAGUUGAAAAUUGGAUGGUUAAGGCCCCCUGUUACAUUUCCAGAGAAAUGUAAAGGUCCUUAUUGUAAGAAAAACUCAGGUAAUUUAUUUUCUCUCUCUUUUGUAAACACAUCUUUUCUUGAAGAGUAAGAGAUUGCUGGAGUCAGGAGGGCCAUUCUUAUAGCACUGCCUGUUGGACUGGGAUAAGUGGAAGAUAUCAAAAAAAAUUUCUCCUUGACACCAAGGAAUUCAGCAUCGGCCUGAAAUUUAGCAGGAGCUUGAACAGCUGCAUCUGUGCUUUUGGUCUGUGGCUACAUAGAAGACUUCAAUUAGCUUGGCAUCUCUCGGGAAAUUAAAAGGAAAGGCUGUAGUUUUGAAGUGUGGCACAGAGAGGAGGAGGUGAUGUUGUAUAUUAAUGACAGGCUUUUGACUGCACUAACUGCCAAAAAUCUGGCCCAGAUUGUGAUGAGUUUUAGCCUUGUUGAGCAGAAUCAAAGGCAGAUGCAUCCUUCCCUCAUGCCUGCACUGCUCACAGCUGUAGUCCCAACGCCAAGGAUAGCUCUGUACAUCAGGAGGGCAGGGGAAGAGUUGGAGUGAACUAGGCACAGAGGCUUUACAGUCCCAGUCAUUUUCUAUAUGUUUUCCAUAUGGACUAGAAAAAACAGGAUACAUUGUGUCUUAAAGGAGGAAGCUGCUUUUGAAGAAGAUGAAUGGAACAUGUCUGAACAUGCAGGAUUUCCAGGCUACUCAAAAUGUUUGUUACACUAGUGCCUGUGUUCCCUGAGGAUCCACAAUAGAGCAUGUGAUAUAAAUUUAAAUGGCUCACCACUGUUUCACUCCACACCGGCUGUGUCUGGGAUCCACGGUCCUGUCCCAGGUAAGAGUUCAGGCUCUGCCGAGCCAGCAUUGUCUGGGCAUGCCCCCUCUUGGGGCUGCCACCACUCACCCCUGUUGGGGCUGGUGAUCACUCCCGGCCACUUUGGGCCUUCCAGAGGACCCACUUCCGGUCCUCCCCGACAGUUGUCCAGCAGGGUUUUUAUUCCCCCCUCUGAGG